AUUGAACGCUGGCGGCAGGCCUAACACAUGCAAGUCGAACGAGUGGCGGACGGGUGAGUAAUGUCUGGGAAACUUCCUGAUGGAGGGGGAUAACUACUGGAAACGGUAGCUAAUACCGCCUACCCUCGUUUGUGCCCAGAUGGGAUUAGCUAGUAGGUGGGGUAAAGGCUAACCUAGGCGACGAUCCCUCGCUGGUCUGAGAGGAUGACCAGCCACACUGGAAUGGAGAAACGGGCAAGAUUCUUACGGGAGGCAGAAGUGGGGAAUAGUGCAAAAUGGGCGCAAGCCUGAUGCAGCCAGGCGGCGUGGAUGAAGAAGGCCUUCGGGUUGUAAAGUACGUUCAGCGGGGAGGCGUUACCCGCAGAAGAAGCACCGGCUAACUCCGUGCCAGCAGCCGCGGUAAUUC
rnacentral:rRNA from 1 species